UCCCAUGUGGACGGUUUUAGAAGC
rnacentral:snRNA from 1 species